rnacentral:rRNA from 1 species
AAUCAACGCUGGCGGCGUGCCUAACACAUGCAAGUCGAACGAGAAAGGGACUUCGGUCUCGAGUAUAGUGGCGCACGGGUGAGUAACACGUGAAUAAUCUACCUCCGAGUGGGGAAUAACCUGGAGAAAUCUAGGCUAAUACCGCAUAAUACUUACGAGUCAAAGCAGCAAUGCGCUUGGAGAGGAGUUCGCGGCAGAUUAGUUAGUUGGCGGGGUAAUGGCCCACCAAGACGAUGAUCUGUAUCCGGCCUGAGAGGGCGCACGGACACACUGGAAC